rnacentral:rRNA from 1 species
UAUAAGGUCUAACCUGCCCAAUGAGGUUUUAAAUGGCCGCAGUAUUUUGACUGUGCAAAGGUAGCAUAAUUAUUAGUUUUUUAAUUGAAAGCUUGUAUGAAGGGUUGGACGAGAUAAAAUCUGUCUCUAUUUAAAUUAAAUUAGAAUUUAACUUUUAAGUCAAAAGGCUUAAAUAUAACUAAAAGACGAGAAGACCCUAUAGAUCUUUAUUUAGUUAGAAUUUUAAUUAUUUAGGAUUAUUUUAGUUUAAAUUUUUAAUUAAAUUUUAUUGGGGUAAUAUAAAGAUUAAACUAAUUCUUUUUAUUAAUUACAUUAAUUUAUGAAUAUAUGAUCCAGUAUUACUGAUUAUAAGAUUAAGUUACCUUAGGGAUAACAGCGUAAUUUUUUUGGAGAGCUCAUAUCGAUAAAAAAGUUUGCGACCUCGAUGUUGGAUUAAAAAUUAGUUUGGGUGCAGAAGCUCAAAAUUUUGGUCUGUUCGACCAUUAAAUUUUUACAUGAUCUGAGUUCAGACCGGCGUAAGCCAGGUCGGUUUCUAUCUUUAUUUAAUUAAAAUAUUUUAGUACGAAAGGACCAAAUAUUUAAUAUAUAAAUAUUUAUUUUUUGAAUAAUAUUAUUACUUUGGCAGAAUAGUGCAAUGAAUUUAGAAUUCAUGUAUGUAAUUAUAUUACAAGUAAUACUUGUAUUUAGGAGAUUUAUUAUUAAUAAUUAUUUGUAUAUUAAUUUUAGUAAUUUGUGUAUUAGUAGGUGUGGCCUUCCUGACUUUGCUGGAACGUAAGGUUUUAGGAUAUAUUCAGAUUCGU